CGAAAUGCGAUAAGUAAUGUGAAUUGCAGAAUUCAGUGAAUCAUCGAAUCUUUGAACGCACAUUGCGCCCGCCAGCACUCUGGCGGGCAUGCCUGUUCGAGCGUCAUUUCAACCCUCAGAACCCCUUGCGGGAUCUGGCGUUGGGGAUUGGCAUCUAGCCAGCCCCGAAAUCUAGUGGCGGUCCCUCCGCGACCUCCCCUGUGCAGUAGCGAUACCUCGCAGCGGGACAGCGGUCUGACCACGCCGUAAAACCCCCAACUUCUCAAGGUUGACCUCGAAUCAGGUAGGAAUACCCGCUGAACUUAAGC
rnacentral:misc_RNA from 1 species